AGUUUUAGAAAUCAUAAAAUCAUCAGCAAGACAAACAAAGAUGACUGGAUAUCAGUCUACUAGAGCUGCUUGAGCAUUCACAUUUCUUCAAACCAGGUCCAAUUUUAAUCAGUUUUGUUUCUCAAUUAUUGUUUUCUAAAAAAUUGAUAAAAAUGACUGAAAAUAUGGUUUUAAGCGGCUUUUAUCUCAAUCAUCCCUUGUGUGAGAAGAGAAUAUAGUCAAAAUAUCUUCUGGUAAAAUUGUGCUUGUACUCUAGUAAAGAGACAAUUUUAACAGAAAAAAUGUCUUAAAAUUAUGAGAAAAGAAUUGUUUUAAUGAGAACAAAGGUUCAAAGGAAUUCAAAGGCCAAAUAAAUUAGAAGCUGUAAAUCAUCCCUGUCAAACAAGAUGGCGGCUUUAAACUAUGGAAAUCCAAGGAGUGCAUUGGCGAAAAAAACAAAAACAAGAUUUUUAAAAAAUUAAACCUUCAAAAACCAAACACUUAAUUUAUCUCCUUAAAUUCUACAAUCAAAAAUCAACAAGUGUAUGAAAAGUUGUCAAGCCAAAACAAAUUAUUGGUAUUAUUUGAUCAGCACACAACCAAAACAAAGCGAUAAAAACUCCACUACCACACAAGAAAAAGACAUUUUACAACAUAAGUAUCUAAUGGCUUUAUAGAAAC